rnacentral:rRNA from 1 species
AAAUUGAAGAGUUUGAUCAUGGCUCAGAUUGAACGCUGGCGGCAGGCCUAACACAUGCAAGUCGAACGGUAACAGAAAGCAGCUUGCUGCUUCACUGACGAGUGGCGGACGGGUGAGUAAUGUCUGGGAAACUGCCUGAUGGAGGGGGAUAACUACUGGAAACGGUGGCUAAUACCGCAUAACGUCGCAAGACCAAAGAGGGGGACCUUCGGGCCUCUUGCCAUCAGAUGUGCCCAGAUGGGAUUAGCUUGUUGGUGAGGUAA